rnacentral:misc_RNA from 1 species
UACGGAGGGUGCGAGCGUUAAUCGGAAUUACUGGGCGUAAAGCGCGCGUAGGCGGCUUGAUAAGCCGGUUGUGAAAGCCCCGGGCUCAACCUGGGAACGGCAUCCGGAACUGUCAGGCUAGAGUGCAGGAGAGGAAGGUAGAAUUCCCGGUGUAGCAGUGAAAUGCGUAGAUAUGUGGAGGAAUACCAGUGGCGAAGGCGGCCUUCUGGACUGACACUGACGCUGAGGUGCGAAAGCUUGGGUCUCGAACCGG